AGGUUGAUUUGCAAGCUCAAGCAAGGGCCCACCGAAUUAGACAAAAGAGGGAUGUACUUGUUCUACGAUUGAAGACAGUACUCAUACUGUUGAAGAACAAGUAAGGGUUGCCGCAGAACACAAACUCGGUGUUGCUAAUCAGAGCAUCACUGUAGGAUUCUUUGUCAAUAACACAAGUUACAUAACUCAGGGGCAAUUCAUGAGGAUUGGGAUUUGUGAUGCAAGGAGUGAGCUUUGUUUAGUUUCUAGAUUGCCUUGCUAAUGAGAAGAAGUCAUAUGGCGAACAUCAUAAUGGAAAACAUGUGAUUUAUGGUUUGAUACUACUAAGUUUGAUGAGUACAACUCUUUUUGUACAUUUUAGUUGGCAUAUUUUGGAUUUCGAUUACACAGCUAUUAUUUUCUCA